GGGGGUACAGCUCAGUGGUAGAGUGCAGGCUUAGCAUGCACGAGGUUCUGGGUUCAAUCCCCAGCACCUCCA
rnacentral:tRNA from 1 species